UGUGUGUGUGUGUGUGCGCGCGCACGCUUAUGUUUGUCAUCGGGCUGCGCUUCCUAGUGCUAACACCGCUGCACCCCUCUUCUUAUAGGCCACUGCGAACUCUACUCUGAGCAAGUGAAUGCUAUAUCACAGCUGAUAAACCGUGUAUGUUGCCAUUCAAAAAUAGUCUGUUUGUUUGCCUUCCAAAAGCCAAUUGCAGGACAUCUGUAAGGUACGUCCUUUUUAAGCUUAAAGGUUGUCUUUGUAGGUUGGGUUUAACCAUUUACUCUAAGUUGCCAUUGUAAUGUUUUGAUGCCUCAAAGCAUUUUACAUUGGUGCGCGAAAGCUGUUUUUACAGUUAUAGCCUGCUUAUAUCGCUAGCUAUCGCUACAUAUCUUCUGUAUCAUGUUCGAUGCUUGAUACAAACCUUAGAAGGUGCAGUAAGUCAAGGGUUUUUCUGUCGUUGUUUUUUUUACAUGUCUACAUAGCAUUGCAUUCCACCUACACCCCUCCACCCCAACACAUCCCCACAUACACAGGCAUAUAAAUGACCUAGACACACACACACACACACACACACACUCUCCUACUAGUCCCGCCUUGGCACUGUAAUUACCACGGCAACUCAUCACCAAAGCCUUCCAAAGGUUCCAGAUGACCUACUGCUGCACAAGGGAGGAGACACAGCUGUAUAUUGCGAUGCGUUAUCUCCGCUCAAAGGACGUUAUGGUUUAACAGUUAUAUUGAUCGAGGGACUAAGACUUCCAAAUGAAUGUAAUGAUGGUGUAUUCCUUAGGGUGGGAUGUCUGUGUGCCAUUUAAAGUUUAUGCUAUGAUAUUAUAGCGGUUACUAAUUUGAAUUAUAUGCAAAGUGUAUUCUUUUGGUUGAGAGGAAAUAAUAUUUGUACUAUGUAAGUGAUUUGAAAAACACUAUAGAGCUACUCACAUGGAAAGUUAAUUAUUGUAUGAUUGUAAUUGAAGCCAUUAUUGCCUAUUCCCAUUUAGAAUUUUUCCAGUAGGCCUACCUAACAGAGAUGCUUUGGACCUGAGUUCUUUCUAAAACAAAAUAACUCUUUGAAAAAUUCCUUGAGUACAGCUCCACUGUCUAUUGAAGAAAAAUACCAUCGCUGUUUGUCUUUUGAAGUAGUCACGGAAACGGUCUCUGUUUACUCUUCCUCUCACAUUUAAUGAAGUGUCGUGGAUGUAGUGCUGCCUUUGUACUGUGCUUCGCUGAUCUUAUCUUAAAAACAAAACAAAAAAAGCUGUAUCCGGCACUCGCCAUGGGUGUUCAGAGGGUGGACAAUGAGAGCUUUGCUCUGAAGUACGUUACCCCUACCUCGUACAAGUCAAGAACAUGAGACCAUCACACUUGCUCUUUUAUGAUGUUCACUCAUAGGUUAUAGAGUCUCAGACGACCACACACGCAGUCUGGCUGUGGUCUGUGAAGUGAAGGUUUCCCACACUAUCGAGUUUUGUUUCGUUUUUUAUUUUUAUUUCUACAGACCGCAUAGACUGCACACUACACAUGUUCUACACAGGGCUUGUUUACAUGGAGUGUCAAACAUACUCUCUCCUCUUUUUGUAACUGAAAUCUGAUAAUCUGUCAUUUUAAACUAAACAUGAACAUGUCCAAGGGUGACCUCCUAAAGCUAAAACCUGUUUGCGCCUUAAAUGACUCACUAGUGGUACGAAUCUUUUUUUUUUUUUUUUGCUGGUUCACUAAGCAGUGAUCGUGAAAACUGUGUGCUAGAGAGACAAAAAGAGUUAUAUUAUUACAUGAAGAAAAUUAUUUGUAUCGCGAGGUGACAUUAUGGAAAAAAAAAAAAUAAAUGGACUGAUCUACUUUGAAAUGAUUCCGGAACUUUUCUAGAGCCAAAUAGAAACAGUUGCUAGUCAUGUGCCAGAGUGGUGCGUGACUGGUCUGCUGAAGUGAGGUUGUAGCAGUUUAGGGAAACUGUUAUAUCAAAUGAAUAUAUCUUUGUCUAUGUUCUCUUCAAGUGUUGAAAAUACUUUUGUUUGCAGGCCUUGCGUGUACAAUUUACUUUUUUUUUUGCUAUGUCCUACCUUGUAUAGGUCUAAUGAAGGACUGCAAGGUGUUGAAAAAAAAAUGGUAUUCUGCUGGCUUUGUAAUUAUAAUUCAUAAAGUGAUUUAAAUAAAGACUUCUUAUUGAAUAUGCUUGGGUUGUGGAGCUGUUUUAAAAGGCAUAUGGAAG
ensembl:lncRNA